rnacentral:rRNA from 1 species
GUAGUCCACGCCCUAAACGAUGUCUACUUGCUGUUGGGUGUAAAAGCUUAGUAGCGAAGCUAACGCGAGAAGUAGACCGCCUGGGGAGUACGGUCGCAAGAUUAAAACUCAAAGGAAUUGACGGGGACCCGCACAAGCGGUGGAUGAUGUGGAUUAAUUCGAUGCAACGCGAAGAACCUUACCUGCUCUUGACAUGCUAGGAAGAUUUCAGAGAUGAGAUUGUGCCUUCGGGAACCUAGACACAGGUGCUGCAUGGCUGUCGUCAGCUCGUGUCGUGAGAUGUUGUCUUAAGUGACGCAACGAGCGCAACCCUUACUACUAGUUGCCCUAAUUAAGUUUGGAACUCUAGUGGGACUGCCGGUGCUAAGCCGGA